UCAGUAGUAGCCUAACAACGUGUCCCGGCGCCCGUGUCAUUCAUUUCGCUUCAUCUCUCCUCGAAGGCGUUUUAUCGUCUCCCAUCAUCACAAGCAGGGUGCUGAUGCUUGAUGGUUUUUGAUAGCAAAUGAGAGAAAACCGUGAAAGAAGGCUCACUGUGCUUUAAGUUAUCUGCAGCAGCAGAAGUUUUAUGAAAUCAAGAAAGAUGAGCUUUCCAGGGGCUGUUAUCAUCCUGUUUUAGAGGACACGUACUGAGAUCCCCCCAAACCUUCACUCCAUCAAGAAUAGAAACAUUUCUGUGG